UACGUAGGGGGCUAGCGUUGUCCGGAAUCAUUGGGCGUAAAGAGCGUGUAGGCGGUCCGGUAAGUCCGCUGUGAAAGUCGGGGGCUCAACCCUCGAAUGCCGGUGGAUACUGUCGGGCUAGAGUCCGGAAGAGGAGAGUGGAAUUCCUGGUGUAGCGGUGAAAUGCGCAGAUAUCAGGAAGAACACCCGUGGCGAAGGCGGCUCUCUGGUACGUGACUGACGCUGAGACGCGAAAGCGUGGGGAGCGAACAGG
rnacentral:rRNA from 1 species